rnacentral:tRNA from 1 species
AGGAUAAAAGUUUUUUAAACAUUUAAUUUGCAAUUAAAAAAUAUUGUAUAAUUUAUCUUA